GUGUACAGCUGGUUUACGUUGGCUUCGGUUUGUCACUUGUCGCCAUCUUGAUGUUUCUUCCUGCUACAUGAAGGUGUUGUUAUUCGAAGUGGAUACUCGUCUGCGAAAUAAGUGUGUUGCCUGGAGUUUGUUUGGAACUGGGAGAUGAAGUCCUCCAGGCUGUUGAUAUCUCGCAUCCGGCUCUGGAAAAACAUCAGCGGCUCGCCGAGUAAUAAACUGGACAAUUGGAAACGCCACAUUAACCAAGAGGUGGGUGUCAGUUCUUGAACGGCUCUUAUUUGGUCCACAAAUGGUUUGGGUUGCAUGUGACGGUAGGAAUUAUCAAAUUUUCCAAGAUUUUGGAAAGGUUGAGUGCUAUUUACUGGUUCAAUCGGUAUAUAAUGUAUUCUGCUGGCUGGAAUAUUUUCCAUGGAUGUCGCUAGUCUGGAGACUCUUUCCUCACUUGCGGUCCAUUUAUC